rnacentral:tRNA from 2 species
GCGCCCGUAGCUCAACUGGAUAGAGCGUCUGACUACGGAUCAGAAGGUUGUGGAUUCGAUUUCUGCCGGGCGCG